UUCUGCCCUACAGGGAAGGAUGAGAAGCUUCGACUAAGGUUCGACUCGAGCGAAGCGAGAGAACGUUGCCGCAGGCAACGGCCCGAAGGGCGAGGCGCUUUAGCGCCGAGUAAUCCUUCCCCCACCACCA
rnacentral:sRNA from 1 species